GAGAGAGGCCUGUCGCAACAAAGACUGCUAAUCUUUGCCCCCUUGGUUAAAUUCCAGGGCUCACUCA
rnacentral:tRNA from 1 species